rnacentral:rRNA from 1 species
AACGCUGGCGGCGUGCUUAACACAUGCAAGUCGAGCGGAAAGGCCCUUCGGGGUACUCGAGCGGCGAACGGGUGAGUAACACGUGAGCAACCUGCCCUAGGCUUUGGGAUAACCCCGGGAAACCGGGGCUAAUACCGAAUAUGACCUUUCCUCGCAUGAGGUUUGGUGGAAAGUUUUUCGGCCUGGGAUGGGCUCGCGGCCUAUCAGCUUGUUGGUGGGGUGAUGGCCUACCAAGGCGACGACGGGUAGCCGGCCUGAGAGGGCGACCGGCCACACUGGGACUGAGACACGGCCCAGACUCCUACGGGAGGCAGCAGUGGGGAAUAUUGCACAAUGGGCGGAAGCCUGAUGCAGCGACGCCGCGUGAGGGAUGACGGCCUUCGGGUUGUAAACCUCUUUCAGCAGGGACGAAGCGUAAGUGACGGUACCUGCAGAAGAAGCGCCGGCCAACUACGUGCCAGCAGCCGCGGUAAGACGUAGGGCGCGAGCGUUGUCCCGGAUUUAUUGGGCGUAAAGAGCUCGUAGGCGGCUUGUCGCGUCGACUGUGAAACCCGCAGCUCAACUGCGGGCCUGCAGUC